CUUGCAAGGCUAAAUACUCCUGGGUGACCGAUAGUGAAGUAGUACCGUGAGGGAAGGGUGAAAAGAACCCCCACUCGGGGAGGGUGAAAUAAGAACAAUGAAACCGUA
rnacentral:ncRNA from 1 species